rnacentral:sRNA from 1 species
AAAUUUGCUAGGAAUAUAUCCCUCGCAAAAUUUUCUUCUUCCUCUUGUUUUUCUUCUUCUCUAGUAGAACUGGCAGAAACUCUUUCGAUCCCUAAAUAGUAUUCCAUCCUUCUAACUUUGUACCUAAGAACUUCUAAAUUUUCAUAGACCAAUCUUAUUUUCUCAGCAAAGGACAUUAAUUUUCUUUUUCUACAGCACUAAAC